rnacentral:rRNA from 1 species
CAAGAGCGUAUAUUAAAGUUGCUGCGGUUAAAAAGCUCGUAGUUGGAUUUCAGUCUAGGAAGGUUAACUCGCCGAAAGGUUGUACGUUGAUUUUCCUCAGACUUCGUCAGAAGCUCGUGCUGCACUCAACUGUGUGGUACGAUGUUCUGACCUUUUACCUUGAGGAAAGUAGAGUGUUUCAGGCAGGCUACCCAGCUUGAAUACAUUAGCAUGGAAUAAUGAAAUGGAUCUCGGUUCGAUUUCGUUGGUUCUAGAGCUGAGGUGAUGAUCAAUAGGAACAGGCGAAGGUAUUCGUACUUGAGAGUGAGGAGUGAAAUCCGAUGAUCUCUUAAAGACGAUCCGAGGCGAAAGCAUUUGUCAAGGAUGUUUUCAUUGA